GUUCGCUGUACCUGCCGUGUUCUAUCAAAUGCGCAAUUAUAUGAUACUAUAAAGGAAGGAAACGAAGAAGAAUUAUACCCGUCACUGAUAAAUGGUACAUGAUACAAUGGGUCACAAGAAAGCCUGCAGCGCAGUCAACUUGAUUCCCUUCACAUUCCUAUUGCUAUUAUCAUGUUCAUCACAACUAGCAUUUGCCAGAGUUUCCAAGUUUUCGAAAAGCAAAGAAAUGAUUAUCGAGGCAAAGAUAUCAAGCAGUUCCCAUUCUAUACCGAUGACAACUUGCGCACUUCAACGUGGACCCGUGACAGCGUGUAGAAGAUCAGAAAGAGCGCAUCAGGGCGGCGGGUGUGAACCAAAUUGUCCUUGAACCACGUACGGUUACUGAUCAAUUGUAGAAGUGAUACGGAGGUUUCAUAUAUGGGUAAUAUUCUCGAAGGGCCCAAGUGAUGAACAUCUGUUGUGGAAUUUUGAAUAGGUAAUCCUAUAUGUAAUCAUCCUCCUGUAUUAGAUACGUUUUCAUUAUACGUUUCAAUAUAUUUUUGUGUGGUAUUUUUCGGAUCCCAA